rnacentral:lncRNA from 1 species
AGCCAAGCUACAGUGCAUAACAGUGAAGUGUCCAGUGAGGUAGAUUACCAUGGUUCUCGAUAAUUAUUAUGACGUCAUAGUAAUGAAAGAGAAGACCAGUGAGUAAGGAAGGUCCAAUGAUUUGCCUAAGGCUACAGGAGUUGCAAACUCAUGAAAUGCAGUCAGGAUUUGAAGCCAGGUUUCCCAUAUUCUGGAUGCUGUGUUCCUUCCAUUUUGCCUUUUCGCCUACCAUGGUUUACUGGACCAGAGGCCCCCACAAGUUGAAAUGGAUAUUGCUGGCAAGGACUCACUGGGAUCACACACCCCCAGCAAGAUCCUGAGAAGCCUUCGUACCAGUAUUAUGGCCUCACAAUUUGGUAUCACAUCUGCUUGAUGGAGAUUGGCUUUCUAACAUGUGUUCAGCCUUA